GGAAGUGUGUCCGAGCGGCCUAAGGAGCAUGGCUGGAAUCCAUGUAGGCGGGGUAACUCGUCUCGCAGGUUCAAAUCCUGUCACUUCCGCCA
rnacentral:tRNA from 1 species